GACGAACGCUGGCGGCGUGCUUAACACAUGCAAGUCGAACGGAAAGGCCCUGCUUUUGUGGGGUGCUCGAGUGGCGAACGGGUGAGUAACACGUGAGUAACCUGCCCUUGACUUUGGGAUAACUUCAGGAAACUGGGGCUAAUACCGGAUAGGAGCUCCUGCUGCAUGGUGGGGGUUGGAAAGUUUCGGCGGUUGGGGAUGGACUCGCGGCUUAUCAGCUUGUUGGUGGGGUAGUGGCUUACCAAGGCUUUGACGGGUAGCCGGCCUGAGAGGGUGACCGGCCACAUUGGGACUGGGAUACGGCCCAGACUCCUACGGGAGGAAGCGGUGGAGAAUAUUGCACAAUGGGCGGAAGCCUGAUGCAGCAACGCCGCGUGCGGGAUGACGGCCUUCGGGUUGUAAACCGCUUUCGCCUGUGACGAAGCGUGAGUGACGGUAAUGGGUAAAGAAGCACCGGCUAACUACGU
rnacentral:rRNA from 1 species